AUGACGAAAAUAACUUGAUAAUAUGGGUCAAGCUAUGGAUGAAACAGAUGAGCAUCACUCAUAUGAAAAAAAAUGUUCUGCGCUAAUGCCCUCAUGAUUCUUUCAUAACUGCCAGCCUUCACAGAAAAUAUAUCAUCCAAACUUGGGAGAUCGGCGAUAACGAGAGAAGGGUCCUCCUCCUUUCUCAUUCUCAUUCGUCCACAAGAAAAUAUGAACGAAUGAUGCUCUCCGGUAGAUUCCCUUGUUCUAUUCCUCAAAUUGCCAUGGGUCGUUUGAAUUCCUCGCGAGGAUCUCCGUCUGGCGAUGGAACAGGAGCAUGCGGUGAGGUGGGGACGCGAUCAAAGCAGAAGAACCUUCGGAGAUUGAGAACAAAAUUAAUCUUACAACACACGAAGCGUCGCGGAUUCGGACUGAUGGGUGCCGUCGCCGCCACGGAGCCGCUCCCACAUGGAGGGCAUCUUCUAACUCAUAACCACGGGAUUAAAAGAAUAGCUUUUGUGUGAGAUGCGUACGUUAUCGCGCACUGGAUGCCUACAUCGUUUUCGCUGGGGGGUUGGCCGAGAGAAGAUCGAAGGAAUUUCAC
rnacentral:lncRNA from 1 species